AGUGAACGCUGGCGGCGUGCCUAAUACAUGCAAGUCGAACGAUGAAGCUCUAGCUUGCUAGAGUGGAUUAGUGGCGCACGGGUGAGUAAUGCAUAGAUAACAUGCCCUUUAGUCUAGGAUAGCCAUUGGAAACGAUGAUUAAUACUGGAUACUCCUUACGAGGGAAAGUUUUUCGCUAAAGGAUUGGUCUAUGUCCUAUCAGCUUGUUGGUGAGGUAAUGGCUCACCAAGGCUAUGACGGGUAUCCGGCCUGAGAGGGUGAACGGACACACUGGAACUGAGACACGGUCCAGACUCCUACGGGAGGCAGCAGUAGGGAAUAUUGCUCAAUGGGGGAAACCCUGAAGCAGCAACGCCGCGUGGAGGAUGAAGGUUUUCGGAUUGUAAACUCCUUUUGUUAGAGAAGAUAAUGACGGUAUCUAACGAAUAAGCACCGGCUAACUCCGUGCCAGCAGCCGCGGUAAUACGGAGGGUGCAAGCGUUACUCGGAAUCACUGGGCGUAAAGAGCGCGUAGGCGGGAUAGCAAGUCAGAUGUGAAAUCCUAUGGCUUAACCAUAGAACUGCAUUUGAAACUGUUAUUCUAGAGUAUGGGAGAGGUAGGUGGAAUUCUUGGUGUAGGGGUAAAAUCCGUAGAGAUCAAGAGGAAUACUCAUUGCGAAGGCGACCUGCUAGAACAUAACUGACGCUGAUGCGCGAAAGCGUGGGGAGCAAACAGGAUUAGAUACCCUGGUAGUCCACGCCCUAAACGAUGAAUGCUAGUUGUUGUGGAGCUUGUCUCUGCAGUAAUGCAGCUAACGCAUUAAGCAUUCCGCCUGGGGAGUACGGUCGCAAGAUUAAAACUCAAAGGAAUAGACGGGGACCCGCACAAGCGGUGGAGCAUGUGGUUUAAUUCGAAGAUACACGAAGAACCUUACCUAGGCUUGACAUUGAUAGAAUCCGCUAGAGAUAGUGGAGUGCUAGCUUGCUAGAACUUGAAAACAGGUGUUGCACGGCUGUCGUCAGCUCGUGUCGUGAGAUGUUGGGUUAAGUCCCGCAACGAGCGCAACCCUCGUCCUUAGUUGCUAACUAUUCGGUAGAGCACUCUAAGGAGACUGCCUUCGCAAGGAGGAGGAAGGUGAGGAUGACGUCAAGUCAUCAUGGCCCUUACGCCUAGGGCUACACACGUGCUACAAUGGGAAGCACAAAGAGAUGCAAUAUUGUGAAAUGGAGCAAAUCUAUAAAACUUCUCUCAGUUCGGAUUGUAGUCUGCAACUCGACUACAUGAAGCUGGAAUCGCUAGUAAUCGUAAAUCAGCUAUGUUACGGUGAAUACGUUCCCGGGUC
rnacentral:rRNA from 1 species